UUGCACGUGGCCCCUCCUACCACAAAAAAACACGGAGAACACCUGGUGGGCUGCUUCAGAUUUUGGAGACAACAUAUUACUCAUUUGGGUUGCUAUUCCAGCCCAUUUACUGAGUAACUAAAAAAGCUGCUAGUUUAAGUGGGACCCAGAACAAGAGAAGCUGUUCUGCCAUUUGGGCCACGUGAUUCAAACCUGAUGGCGCCUGAAGUGUCGGCAGCAGACAGAGGUGCUGUCUGGAGUCUUUAAUAGAUCUCUAUUAGGUGAAUCACAACACAGACCCUUAGGAUUUUAGAAAAAGCCCUACCAUCCUCUGUGAAUAACUACUCUCCUUUUGGGAAACAGUGUUUGGCUUGUUAGUGGGACUUCACAGAGACUCAAAGCUUAACCAUGGGGCAUCAAGUUACUGGUGACCUGAGCUGCUGAUCAUGAAACAGAUGUUGUCUAACCUACUAAGCCAUAAAGUGGGGUGUACACGGUAGCACUCCAUUAUCAAAUGGAAGUGGUAUAUGUAAGACUGGGCUUAAACAGACCCUAAAGGCACAAGCUGCAUGAGGAAGUAGCCAAAAUACCCCACGGCCCUGUUCUUCUUUGUCUCUUCCAGCCUGCACCUAUGGCCUCAUGGGGAGUUCUCUAUGGCCAGUUGAUUGGUAAAGAAAAACUCAGGCCUGGUUUGUAGAUAUUUCUGUGUGAUACGCAGGUACCACCUGGAAGUGCACAGCUGUAACACUACAGUCCCUUCUGGGACAUCCCUUAAGGACAGUGGUGAAGGGAUAGCCUCCCAGUGGGCAGUACUUCUGACAGUGCACCCGGUUGUUCAUUUUGUCUAGAAAGAAAAAUGGCCUGAGCUAAGGGUCUACUCUGAUUCAUAGGCCGUGGCAAACGGUUUGCCUGGGUGGUAAGGAACUUACAGGGAACACAGAUGAAAAACUGUUGGCAAGGUGUUAUGGGCUGAAUUGUGUCCCCCCUACCUCAUUCAUAUGUUGAAGUCCUAUCCUCCAGUAUCUCAGAAUGUGACUGUAAUUGGG
rnacentral:lncRNA from 10 species